rnacentral:rRNA from 1 species
CGAACGCUGGCGGCGUGGCUAAGACAUGCAAGUCGAACGGACCGGUCAAUUGGGUAACUGAGAGGCCGGUUAGUGGCGAAAGGGUGAGGAAUAGAUAGGUAACGUACCUUGUUCUUCGGGAAAAUGUCGCAUCCGCAAGGAUGCUACCGAAAGGGGCACUAAUACCGAAUAAUGUGGUCUGUUUAAUGCGGAUUACCAAAGAUUUAUCGGGGCAAGAGCGGCCUAUCUUCUAUCAGCUAGUUGGUGAGGUAAUGGCCCACCAAGGCAAUGACGGGUAGCGGGACUGAGAGGUUGGCCCGCCACAUCGGGACUGAGACACUGCCCGGACCUCCACGGAGGGCUGCAGUAACGAAUAUUGGGCAAUGGGCGAAAGCCUGACCCAGCGACGCCGCGUGCGGGAGGAAGUCCCACGGGAUGUAAACCGCUGUCAGGGAGAAGAAAGGUCGCAAGACUUGAUCUAUCCCAGAGGAAGCAACGGCUAACUUCGUGCCAGCAGCCGCGGUAAGACGAAGGUUGCGAGCGUUGUUCGGAAUCACUGGGCUUAAAGCGUAUGUAGGCGGAUGAGUAAGCGUUUUGUGAAAUCCCCCGGCUUAACCGGGGAAUUGCUUGGCGAACUGCUCAUCUUGAGGCAAAUAGGGGUGCAUGGAACUCUUGGUGGAGCGGUGGAAUGCGUAGAUAUCAAGAGGAACGCCAGCGGCGAAAGCGGUGCACUGGAUUUGUCCUGACGCUCAGAUACGAAAGCGUGGGGAGCAAACGGGAUUAGAUACCCCGGUAGUCCACGCCCUAAACGAUGCCUACUAGGUUGUAGAAGCUCUGACGCUUUUACGGCCGAAGCAAAAGUGUUAAGUAGGCCGCCUGGGAAGUACG